GAUGAACGCUGGCGGUAUGCUUAACACAUGCAAGUCGAACGGACUCUUCGGAGUUAGUGGCGGUCGGGUGAGUAACGCGUGGGAAUCUGGCUUUGGGUUCGGGACAACCACUGGGAACGGUGGCUAAUAACGGAUGUGCCGAGAGGUAAAAGAGAUAUUGCCUGAAGAUGAGCUCGCGACUGAUUAGCUAGUUUGAGAGGUAAAGGCUAACCACGGUAGCGAUUAGUAGCUGGUGUGAGAGGAUGACCAGCCACACUGGGACUGAGACACGGCCCAGACACCUACGGGAGGCAGCAGGGAGGAAUUUUCCGCAAUGGGCCAAAGCCGGACAGAGCUAUACCGCGUGAGGGAAGAAGGGUCAGGGGAGGUAAACCGUGUGUCUUAGGAAAUAACAAAAUGACGGUACCUUAGGAAACAGCAUCGGCUAACUCCGUG
rnacentral:rRNA from 1 species